UUUUCUUCUGUUCCUUCCUUUAAAAAUCUCUCUCUCUCUCUCUUCUUUCUCUCUCCCCCUUAUCUUUAUAAACCCCUCUUCCUCUUCAGCCUGAGAUCCAUGGCUAGGUUCUUCUCCAAAAUUGUUGAAUACCCUUCAAAGGGUGUCUCUUGUUUUCUAGGGUUUUUGGUUGUUGGGAUAAUUUGUGAGGGUUAAGAGAGCUUUCUUCAGUCCACUCAUGGGUGGCCGUAGGGUUUAAUUAGCUGCCGACUCAUUCGUUCAAAUACUGAGUCAAUCAAUCGGCUGUCGAUUCAGUAAACGAGUGAAUGAUGCGGGAGACAAAUUGAAUCUUAAGCUUCCUGUACUUGGACUGAAGGGAGCUCCCUUUCCUUUCGAACCCUUUUUUUUUUUUUUUUUCUUAAAAUCUCUCACUUUUCCCUGUUUUUGGCUGUUAAUUUUGCUUCGAGAUCGAGAUCUCGAACAACUUCAACAUUCAUUCUAUACCCACUUACACAAAUUCAACGUUUUGUUCAAAUAAAUCAUCAAAAUCUUAACUUGUUUUUGUUUUUAUUGGUAGAAAGCUAGCUUGGGUUUUGGAUUCAGAUUCUUCGCUGAGACCCGAAGGUUUCAGCAGUCGUUGGUGGAUCUCUGUGUCUCUCAAUCAAUAUCUGUCGGUCAUCGCUAGGCCUCUGGUGGUUGCCCUGCUGCUAGCUUCGUGGUGUCAGCUUGUUAAGUAAAUCAGCCUUUCCAAUGAGAUUUUAUGGGUAAAAAGGUGUAGCUUUGAGUCCUUCAAUUAAUGCAUAAAGGCCAUCUGGAGUCCUAAAUUCUCUCAGCCAUCGGUUAAAUUGCUAUCUAAAUUGGUCUCAACACUAGAAGCCUAUGGAAACCUUCAUCUUAUUCUUUAAAUUUUAUAUUUUUAAUGGAUCAUCUUAGGGUUAGGUUAGAAAUGUAUAACGAAUGCAUUUAUUGCUUAAUUUGGAUAGUCAUAAGAUCUCGUCUAUAUUCACGAAUGGUAUGCUAUUAUGUCUCACAGAUGAGAUUCCGUCACUUUUCGUUUAGUUGUUAUGAAAUUUCUUGAUAUUUCUAUUGAUACAAUUUACUUGCGACUUAUCUCGGCUAAUACUUCAUUCAAGGGUUAUGUUUCAAGUUUUUUGAUAUUUUGUUUAGUGGCAAGGAUGUACGAGGCGAUGGAGGGGAGGAAUAUCGAUUGAGUCAUGGGGUUGUGUCAACAUGUUUAUACAAGCGAAGCUGUAUCACGAUAAUUUUUGAAGAGUUCAAGUUCAUCGUUAGUAGAUAUUUAGUGUGAUGAAGAAAUGAAAACAUUAUUAUUUAUAUUGAUACUCAAUUUGUAAUGUUUUGAUGGUGAAACUGCUCAUCAAACCAAACCCUGAAGAACCUGAUGUAGCCAAAAACUUUGUGUUGAUAAAGAAAGUUACCCUUUUUUCAAUCUUUAUUAAAAUUCUGUUUCCUUCUGUGAUUGGACAUGUUUGAACAAUUUUAUUAGAGGACAAAAUUUUGGUGUUUUCA